rnacentral:rRNA from 1 species
AUGGCGACCAUGGUGGCUUUGAGUUCCUUCGCCGUCGUCGGCCGGUCCGCCGCCCGCUCUCCAGUGGCGGGCCCGCGCCGGAGGACCCUCGUCGUCAGGGCCCAGUCUGAGCCUGGCAUGGACUCAACCAAGGAGACGACGAGCGCAUCGACCUCCUCCUCCCCGAGCACGAGCCCGACCCCGAUCCCGGCGGCACCCAAGCCCAUGACCAAGAAGGCGAACCCCUCGGUCUGGGACACGCUCGCCUUCAGCGGCCCGGCGCCGGAGCGCAUCAACGGCCGGCUGGCCAUGGUGGGCUUCGUGGCGGCACUCUCCGUCGAGGCGGCACGCGGCGGCGGGCUCCUCGACCAGGCCGGCAGCGGCGCCGGGCUGGGCUGGUUCCUGGUGACCGCGGGGGUGUUCUCCGCGGCAUCGUUGGUGCCGCUACUGCAGGGCCAGACUGUCGAGAGCAAGUCGAGCGGAAUCUGGAGCGCCGACGCAGAGCUCUGGAACGGCCGCUUCGCUAUGCUCGGCCUCGUCGCGCUCGCCGCCACCGAGUUCAUUACCGGCGCUCCCUUCGUCAACAUCUAA